rnacentral:rRNA from 1 species
UACGGUGGGUGCAAGCGUUAUCCGGAUUCACUGGGUUUAAAGGGUGCGUAGGUGGAUUGGUAAGUCAGUGGUGAAAUCUCCGGGCUUAACCCGGAAACUGCCAUUGAUACUAUCAGUCUUGAAUACCGUGGAGGUCAGUAGAAUAUGUCAUGUAGCGGUGAAAUGCUUAGAUAUGACAUAGAAUACCAAUUGCGAAGGCAGCUGGCUACACGAAUAUUGACACUCAGGCACGAAAGCGUGGGGAUCAAACAGG